rnacentral:rRNA from 1 species
AAGAAGGUCGAGGCAAAUGACCCUAUUGAUGUUUUGAACAUCAAGUUGAAAAGGCUGAAAAAAUUCUUUAAAGGAUGGCGGUCUAAUAAGUUUGGGAAUGAGAGAAUUAGGAAGAGAAGUAUCAAGGAGGAACUAGAGAAGAUUGAGGAGCUGGAAGAAAAUGACAAUCUCAACCCCGGGUUAUUGUGUAAAAAGCAAAGUUUGUUGGUGGAGCUCAAUGAAAUCCUUGUUAAUGAGGAACUAUACUUACUGCAACAAUCUAAGGAGAGAUGAUUGCUUAAAGGAGAUAGUAACACAGCUUACUAUCAGAAGAUUGCUAGUGGAAAUAAGAGGAAAAACACCAUUCACUCUCUGAAAGUUGGUGACCAGGUCAUUGAAGGAACUGAGAACCUUCUUAAACAUGCAACUGAAUUUUACAAAGAGUUGUUUGGGCCUGCCCCUGGAAAUUUAUUCCAAAUGGACCCUGAGGUUUGGGAUGAGGGAGGGAGGAUUAGUGAG